rnacentral:rRNA from 1 species
AUGAAUAGUGCAGGAGCUAGCAAAGCUGCCGCUCGCCGUAUGGAACACCAGUACCACCGUGGGAAGGUGGAAGCACAAAUAGAAGCUGCUCUUUCUUCCUGGCCGAGUAUGGAUCAAGCGUCUCGGUCAUUAGCUUGGCAGCUAUGCAACAUGCCGUCUCGCCAGCACAACUUCAACCCAUCUGCACAGGUUCAGCGACGCCCCCCUUCCCAUGUCCUCUCGAUGGCAGGAUUACCUCGAUCUCUGGUGCAGCCGUGGCGUUCUGGUUCUUCUUUCUCGCUUGCAGAAGAUAAGCUUUCUAAGCACAAGACUCUUCAGCUUACUGAAAACUUUCUUACCCACAAAACUUCUUGCUGA